rnacentral:rRNA from 1 species
CCAAUAGCGUAUAUUAAAGUUGUUGCAGUUAAAAAGCUCGUAGUUGAAUUUCGGGAUCAAUAUGUUGGUCGUGCCUUGGUACGUACUAAUUUAUUGGUUUCUUCCUUCUGACGAACCUUGAUGUCAUUAAUUAGGUGUCUUGGGGAAUCAGGACUGUUACUUUGAAAAAAUUAGAGUGUUUAAAGCAGGCUCACGCUUGAAUACAUUAGCAUGGAAUAAUGAAAUAGGACGUUUGAUUCUAUUUUGUUGGUUUCUAGGAUUGACGUAAUGAUUAAUAGGGAUAGUUGGGGGCAUUAGUAUUCAAUUGUCAGAGGUGAAAUUCUUGGAUUUAUUGAAGACUAACUACUGCGAAAGCAUUUGCCAAGGAUGUUUUCAUUAAUCAAGAACGAAAGUUAGGGGAUCGAAGACGAUCAGAUACCGUCGUAGUCUUAACCAUAAACUAUGCCGACUAGGGAUCGGAUGAUGUUAAUUUUUUAAUGACUCAUUCGGCGCCUUACG